rnacentral:rRNA from 1 species
GCUUGUCUCAAAGAUUAAGCCAUGCAUGUCUAAGUAUAAAUAAGUCUAUACUGUGAAACUGCGAAUGGCUCAUUAAAUCAGUUAUAGUUUACUUGAUAGUUUUUCCCACAUGGACAUCUGUGGUAAUUCUAGAGCUAAUACGUGCAUAAAAACCCGACUUCUGGAAGGGUUGUAUUUAUUAGAUAAAAAACCAAUCCGGCAACGGUGCUUGGUGAUUCAUAAUAACUGUUCGAAGCGCACGGCCUCGCGCCGGCGCUAGUUCAUUCAAAUUUCUGCCCUAUCAGCUUUCGACGGUAGUGUAGUGGACUACCGUGGCGCUAACGGGUGACGGAGAAUUAGGGUUCGGUUCCGGAGAGGGAGCCUGAGAAACGGCUACCACAUCCAAGGAAGGCAGCAGG